AGUGCUUUAAAUCCAAUUGGAAAAAACUGGUGAAGGACUUUUACAGACUCACACUGAGCUGGAACCUGUGGUCAGAGGAGUUAUCUUAUUGUGAACACGAUAUCUCCUGAACAACUUCAAAUAAUAGGAUCAUGUUUAACACAGGUGUUCAAAUGGACUCCGUGAUCAUAGACAAAAGCUGAGGUGAAGCCUUGCGGGCAGGUACAACCACCUCUGUUAGGUCCGCGUUAAUCAAGUGUUUUCCUCAUUUCUAGCCUCGGCAUCAUCCAUAUGGAGUUAUUAGAAAGGGGCAAAUUAGGUACGAAGACCCAAACAGUUUAAAGUCUGUAGACUGCUUAUUUUGCCGUUCUAGGAUAAUAGUUAAUACAAACGGUCUCUUUUGAAGCUGUAAGUGAACAUUAGAGGCACUGCAUUUUUUUACUGCUUCAGGAUUGACUUGUUUUUACAGUCACAGAGGUUGAAAAUGUACUUUUAGUUUACACAAAUGCUAAAUGUAAAUUAAUAAAUACAAUAAAUAAAUAAAUAAAACACAAUGAUCACGUUCAAGAUAUCUCGGUGUACUUUUAGACAUUUAAAAAGAAAAACCUGCCUGCACUGGAUGAAAAAAAAAAAAGGUUUCCAUGACAUUUUCACACUUGUGAUGUGUGGAACCAAAAACACCCUUUUUUCCUCUGACAUUUUUUCAGGCUUUUUUUGGAUCAACUGUGGUGUGUUCAGUUUUAAAUAUCCUGUUCUAACAGUGGGAAAAAAAGAUUGAUUCUUUUCUUUUCUGCAGCAGGAUGUGCAGGCGAAGCUUGAAGAGGACGUCACUCUUCAGUGUCAGAUUUUCACAGAUGAAAGAAUCUCAGUGGUAAAGUGGAGCAGAGCUGACCUGAACACAGACGGCUACGUCUACUUCUACAGGAACAAACGCUUCUAUGAAAAUUACCAACAUCCAUCUUUUCAUGGCCGAGUGAAGCUGAGGCACCCGGAGAUGAAGGAUGGAGACGUGUCUGUGAUCCUGAAGAAGGUCACAUUUAAUGACACUGGGAUGUAUGAGUGUCACGUAGCUGUGAGGAACCCUGUGAGCAGUAAAAGAGCUCACACUGAGAUCAGUCUCUUCAUCAACCUCACAGUCACAGGUGAAACGGAUAAAACCUUGUUGGAACAGCAGCUGAAGG